rnacentral:rRNA from 1 species
UCCUACGGGAGGCAGCAGUGGGGAAUAUUGCACAAUGGGCGCAAGCCUGAUGCAGCAACGCCGCGUGAGGGACGAAGGCCUUCGGGUUGUAAACCUCUUUUAGUAGGGAAGAAGCGACUGGGUUUUCCUGGGAGUGACGGUACCUGCAGAAAAAGCACCGGCUAACUACGUGCCAGCAGCCGCGGUAAUACGUAGGGUGCAAGCGUUGUCCGGAAUUAUUGGGCGUAAAGAGCUCGUAGGCGGUUUGUCGCGUCUGCUGUGAAAACCCGAGGCUCAACCUCGGGCCUGCAGUGGGUACGGGCAGACUAGAGUGCGGUAGGGGAGAUUGGAAUUCCUGGUGUAGCGGUGGAAUGCGCAGAUAUCAGGAGGAACACCAAUGGCGAAGGCAGAUCUCUGGGCCGUAACUGACGCUGAGGAGCGAAAGCAUGGGGAGCGAACAGGAUUAGAUACCCUGGUAGUCCAUGCCGUAAACGUUGGGAACUAGAUGUGGGGACCAUUCCACGGUCUCCGUGUCGCAGCUAACGCAUUAAGUUCCCCGCCUGGGGAGUACGGCCGCAAGGCUAAAACUCAAAGGAAUUGACGGGGGCCCGCGCAAGCGGCGGAGCAUGCGGAUUAAUUCGAUGCAACGCGAAGAACCUUACCAAGGCUUGACAUAUACCGGAAACGGCUGGAAACAGUCGCCCCGCAAGGUCGGUAUACAGGUGGUGCAUGGUUGUCGUCAGCUCGUGUCGUGAGAUGUUGGGUUAAGUCCCGCAACGAGCGCAACCCUCGUCCUAUGUUGCCAGCACGUAAUGGUGGGAACUCAUGGGAUACUGCCGGGGUCAACUCGGAGGAAGGUGGGGAUGACGUCAAAUCAUCAUGCCCCUUAUGUCUUGGGCUUCACGCAUGCUACAAUGGCCGGUACAAAGGGCUGCGAUACCGCAAGGUGGAGCGAAUCCCAAAAAGCCGGUCUCAGUUCGGAUUGAGGUCUGCAACUCGACCUCAUGAAGUCGGAGUCGCUAGUAAUCGCAGAUCAGCAACGCUGCGGUGAAUACGUUCCCGGGCCUUGUACACACCGCC